CAGUAGCCACGGGAAUACGAAGGGUGCAAGCGUUAAUCGGAAUUACUGGGCGUAAAGCGUGCGUAGGCGGUUUGUUAAGUCUGUUGUGAAAUCCCCGGGCUCAACCUGGGAAUGGCAAUGGAUACUGGCAAGCUAGAGUGUGUCAGAGGAUGGUGGAAUUCCCGGUGUAGCGGUGAAAUGCGUAGAGAUCGGGAGGAACAUCAGUGGCGAAGGCGGCCAUCUGGGACAACACUGACGCUGAGGCACGAGAGCGUGGGGAGCAAACAGGAUUAGAUACCCCUGUAGUCCCUGUCUCUAUACA
rnacentral:rRNA from 1 species